GUCGGGGGUUACUCCCAACCCCUGUGACAUACCAAUUGUUGCCUCGGCGGAUCAGCCCGCUCCCGGUAAAACGGGACGGCCCGCCAGAGGACCCCUAAACUCUGUUUCUAUAUGUAACUUCUGAGUAAAACCAUAAAUAAAUCAAAACUUUCAACAACGGAUCUCUUGGUUCUGGCAUCGAUGAAGAACGCAGCAAAAUGCGAUAAGUAAUGUGAAUUGCAGAAUUCAGUGAAUCAUCGAAUCUUUGAACGCACAUUGCGCCCGCCAGUAUUCUGGCGGGCAUGCCUGUUCGAGCGUCAUUUCAACCCUCAAGCCCCCGGGUUUGGUGUUGGGGAUCGGCGAGCCCUUGCGGCAAGCCGGCCCCGAAAUCUAGUGGCGGUCUCGCUGCAGCUUCCAUUGCGUAGUAGUAAAACCCUCGCAACUGGUACGCGGCGCGGCCAAGCCGUUAAACCCCCAACUUCUGAAUGUUGACCUCGGAUCAGGUAGGAAUACCCGCUGAACUUAAGCAUAUCAAUAAGGCGGAGAAA
rnacentral:rRNA from 1 species